rnacentral:lncRNA from 1 species
AUUAGGUUAAACCUCAUAGCUAGAUUUUGUUUCUACUUUUUUAUAUUGCAUGUUGUCUUCCCACCUUACACUUUCGGGUAAGACGAAUCUACAAUAAAGAAUGAAAUUUGAGGAAAUCAAAAGAUUUCAUUUUUCAGUACUACUUGGAAUUCACAUAAUAUAUAAAAUUGAGAGCCCGUGACUGAAGCAAGAUGUAAACAGCUAGCAUGUGCUAGUCAGCUAUGUUUGGUAAUGCCAUAUAAUGUGUGGAACUGCACAGCCAUGCUUGUUAAUCCCCCAAGU